AUUGAACGCUGGCGGCAUGCCUUACACAUGCAAGUCGAACGGUAACGGGUCCUUCGGGAUGCCGACGAGUGGCGAACGGGUGAGUAAUAUAUCGGAACGUGCCCAGUAGUGGGGGAUAACUGCUCGAAAGAGCAGCUAAUACCGCAUACGACCUGAGGGUGAAAGGGGGGGAUCGCAAGACCUCUCGCUAUUGGAGCGGCCGAUAUCAGAUUAGCUAGUUGGUGGGGUAAAGGCCUACCAAGGCAACGAUCUGUAGUUGGUCUGAGAGGACGACCAGCCACACUGGGACUGAGACACGGCCCAGACUCCUACGGGAGGCAGCAGUGGGGAAUUUUGGACAAUGGGCGCAAGCCUGAUCCAGCAAUGCCGCGUGCAGGAAGAAGGCCUUCGGGUUGUAAACUGCUUUUGUCAGGGAAGAAAUCUUCUGGGCUAAUACCCCGGGAGGAUGACGGUACCUGAAGAAUAAGCACCGGCUAACUACGUGCCAGCAGCCGCGGUAAUACGUAGGGUGCGAGCGUUAAUCGGAAUUACUGGGCGUAAAGCGUGCGCAGGCGGCUUUGCAAGACAGAUGUGAAAUCCCCGGGCUCAACCUGGGAGCUGCAUUUGUGACUGCAAGGCUAGAGUACGGCAGAGGGGGAUGGAAUUCCGCGUGUAGCAGUGAAAUGCGUAGAUAUGCGGAGGAACACCAAUGGCGAAGGCAAUCCCCUGGGCCUGUACUGACGCUCAUGCACGAAAGCGUGGGGAGCAAACAGGAUUAGAUACCCUGGUAGUCCACGCCCUAAACGAUGUCAACUGGUUGUUGGACGGCUUGCUGUUCAGUAACGAAGCUAACGCGUGAAGUUGACCGCCUGGGGAGUACGGCCGCAAGGUUAAAACUCAAAGGAAUUGACGGGGACCCGCACAAGCGGUGGAUGAUGUGGUUUAAUUCGAUGCAACGCGAAAAACCUUACCUACCCUUGACAUGUCAAGAAUUCUGCAGAGAUGUGGAAGUGCUCGAAAGAGAACUUGAACACAGGUGCUGCAUGGCCGUCGUCAGCUCGUGUCGUGAGAUGUUGGGUUAAGUCCCGCAACGAGCGCAACCCUUGUCAUUAGUUGCUACGCAAGAGCACUCUAAUGAGACUGCCGGUGACAAACCGAAGGAAGGUGGGGAUGACGUCAGGUCCUCAUGGCCCUUAUGGGUAGGGCUACACACGUCAUACAAUGGCCGGUACAGAGGGCUGCCAACCCGCGAGGGGGAGCCAAUCCCAGAAAACCGGUCGUAGUCCGGAUCGUAGUCUGCAACUCGACUGCGUGAAGUCGGAAUCGCUAGUAAUCGCGGAUCAGCUUGCCGCGGUGAAUACGUUCCCGGGUCU
rnacentral:rRNA from 1 species